CCUACGGGAGGCAGCAGUGAGGAAUAUUGGACAAUGGGCGCAAGCCUGAUCCAGCCAUGCCGCGUGCAGGAAGAAGCAUCUAUGGUGUGUAAACUGCUUUUGUACAGGAAGAAACACUCCCUCGUGAGGGAGCUUGACGGUACUGUAAGAAUAAGGACCGGCUAACUCCGUGCCAGCAGCCGCGGUAAUACGGAGGGUCCGAGCGUUAUCCGGAAUCAUUGGGUUUAAAGGGUCCGUAGGCGGUUUAAUAAGUCAGUGGUGAAAUCUGGUCGCUCAACGAUCAAACGGCCAUUGAUACUGUUAGACUUGAAUUAUAAGGAAGUAACUAGAAUAUGUAGUGUAGCGGUGAAAUGCUUAGAUAUUACAUGGAAUACCAAUUGCGAAGGCAGGUUACUACUUAUGGAUUGACGCUGAUGGACGAAAGCGUGGGGAGCGAACAGGAUUAGAUACCCUGGUAGUCCACGCCGUAAACGAUGGAUACUAGCUGUUCGGAGCAAUCUGAGUGGCUAAGCGAAAGUGAUAAGUAUCCCACCUGGGGAGUACGUUCGCAAGAAUGAAACUCAAAGGAAUUGACCGGNNGAGAGNGCGAGACGACGACGAGGAGGAGG
rnacentral:rRNA from 1 species